rnacentral:lncRNA from 1 species
UAAAUAAAUUGUCAAGCAGAGAAUUUUUUUUCCCUUGUGUUUCUUUCUGGGUAUGAAGCUGCAAGUUUUGGAUUGAGCGAUAGAGAAGGUGUCUUUCUUGGAUUUUCGUUUCCAUUUGAUAGAAAUUUUGGUUUUUGAUCCAAAAAGAGAAGUGGGUUUUUCUGGGUUUUCAAUCUUUUGAGGUUAUAAGCUUGGAAAUUUUGUUUUGGAGGUAUCAGAAAUGGCUUGUUGUUUGAAGACCGGUUUCUAUGUUUCUGGUUCAAGUGAUACCCUUCUCGGCUGUAGAGCCAAAGGGUCUUUAGGGGUUUCUCCGUCCGUUGAGGCUCUCCAAUUAUCAAAUUCAAGAUCAAAAGAUUUCAUGGGGAAACAAUUGGAUUAUUCAGUCCAAAAUUCAACCUAUUGGGAUGUCAAAGCUCCAACUAC